rnacentral:sRNA from 1 species
GCCGGGCAUGGCGGCACAUGCCUCUAAUCCCAGUGGCUCAGGAGGCUGAGGCAGGAGGAUCAUGAGUUCAAAGCCAGCCUCAGCAAAGGCGAGGCACUAAGCAACUCAGUGAGACCCUGUCUCUA